CAAGACGUAGCUUUAAUUAAAGCAUUCAGCUUACACCUGAAAGAUAUCUGCUGACAUCAGAUCGUCUUGA
rnacentral:tRNA from 1 species